GACGAACGCUGGCGGCGUGCCUAAUACAUGCAAGUUGAGCGCUGAAGGUUGGUACUUGUACCAACUGGAUGAGCAGCGAACGGGUGAGUAACGCGUGGGGAAUCUGCCUUUGAGCGGGGGACAACAUUUGGAAACGAAUGCUAAUACCGCAUAAAAACUUUAAACACAAGUUUUAAGUUUGAAAGAUGCAAUUGCAUCACUCAAAGAUGAUCCCGCGUUGUAUUAGCUAGUUGGUGAGGUAAAGGCUCACCAAGGCGAAGAUACAUAGCCGACCUGAGAGGGUGAUCGGCCACAAUGGGACUGAGACACGGCCCAAACUCCUACGGGAGGCAGCAGUAGGGAAUCUUCGGCAAUGGACGAAAGUCUGACCGAGGAACGCCGCGGGAGUGAAGAAGGUUUUCGGAUCGUAAAACUCUGUUGGUAGAGAAGAACGUUGGUGAGAGUGGAAAGCUCAUCAAGUGACGGUAACUACCCAGAAAGGGACGGCUAACUACGUG
rnacentral:rRNA from 1 species